AAAACACAGAGAUGAAUGGAGGUUGAUUGAUAUGAGAUGAGUAUGUUGUUGGGUACAGAUUUCACUAAUUUCCCUCUCAUGUAUAUAAGAAUUCUUCUUUAUUCAUUAAUGCCAACGUCCCUAACUAAAACACUUAAACCCGAUGUCUCGGUAAAUAAGUCUAUCCCUAAUUACCAGUUCAUACAAUUCCUAGCAUUCCUGGU
rnacentral:lncRNA from 1 species